rnacentral:rRNA from 1 species
GAUGAACGCUAGCUACAGGCUUAACACAUGCAAGUCGAGGGGAAACGACAUCGAAAGCUUGCUUUUGAUGGGCGUCGACCGGCGCACGGGUGAGUAACGCGUAUCCAACCUGCCCAUCACUUGGGGAUAACCUUGCGAAAGUAAGACUAAUACCCAAUGAUAUCUCUAGAAGACAUCUGAAAGAGAUUAAAGAUUUAUCGGUGAUGGAUGGGGAUGCGUCUGAUUAGCUUGUUGGCGGGGUAACGGCCCACCAAGGCAACGAUCAGUAGGGGUUCUGAGAGGAAGGUCCCCCACAUUGGAACUGAGACACGGUCCAAACUCCUACGGGAGGCAGCAGUGAGGAAGAUUGGUCAAUGGGCGAGAGCCUGAACCAGCCAAGUAGCGUGCAGGAAGACGGCCCUAUGGGUUGUAAACUGCUUUUAUAAGGGAAUAAAGUGAGAGUCGUGACUCUUUUUGUAUGUACCUUAUGAAUAAGGACCGGCUAAUUCCGUG